UACGUAGGGCGCAAGCGUUGUCCGGAAUUAUUGGGCGUAAAGAGCUCGUAGGCGGUGUGUCGCGUCGGCCGUGAAAACCUGCAGCUUAACUGUGGGCUUGCGGUCGAUACGGGCAUCACUGGAGUUCGGCAGGGGAGACUGGAAUUCCUGGUGUAGCGGUGAAAUGCGCAGAUAUCAGGAGGAACACCGGUGGCGAAGGCGGGUCUCUGGGCCGAUAUCGACGCUGAGGAGCGAAAGCGUGGGGGAGCGAACAGG
rnacentral:rRNA from 1 species